GAUGAACGCUGGCGGCGUGCCUAACACAUGCAAGUCGAACGGAGAUUACGGACGGUAGUUUUCGGAUGGAAGCCUGUAAUUCUUAGUGGCGGACGGGUGAGUAACGCGUGGGCAACCUGCCCUAUACAGGGGGAUAGCAGCUGGAAACGGCUGGUAAGACCGCAUAAGUCGGUUAAAUCGCAUGAUUUGAUCGGGAAAUGAGCAACCAGGUAUAGGAUGGGCCCGCGUCCGAUUAGCCAGUUGGCAGGGUAAAAGCCUACCAAAGCGACGAUCGGUAGCCGGACUGAGAGGUCGGACGGACACAUUGGGGCGGAGACACGGCACAAACUCCUACGGAAGGGAGGAGUGGGGGAUAUAGCACAAUGGAGGAAGAUAUGAUGCAGCGACGACGGGUGAGUGAAGAAGUAUUUCGGUAUGUAAAGCUCUAUCAGCAGGGAAGGUGAUGACGGUACCUGACUAAGAAGCCCCGGCUAACUACGUG
rnacentral:rRNA from 1 species